rnacentral:rRNA from 1 species
UACGUAGGGUGCGAGCGUUAAUCGGAAUUAUUGGGCGUAAAGCGCGGGCAGGCGGCCCGGUAAGUCGGCCGUGAAAGCGCCGGGCUCAACUCGGCGAGGACGGGCGAGACUGCAGGGCUGGAGCAAGGCAGAGGGCGGUGGAAUUCCGGGUGUAGUGGUGGAAUGCGUAGAGCUCCGGAGGAACACCAGUGGCGAAGGCGGCCGCCUGGGCCUUUGCUGACGCUGAGCCGCGAAAGCGUGGGGAGCGAGCCGG